rnacentral:RNase_P_RNA from 1 species
CUGUCGCGGACAAUCAUUCAUCUAGGCGACGAAUUGCUUCGCCGCUCAAGCAACCUACCCGAACUCUGAGCGGGCACACCCAUUGAGUUCCUAUUUGGUCUUGCUACGAGUGGAGUUUACACCUGCCGCGGAAUGUUACCAUCCGCGCGGUGCGCUCUUACCGCACCCUUUCACCCUUACCUUUCCGAAAAAAGGCGGUCUGCUCUCUGUUGCACUUGUCGUAGGCUCGCGCCUCCCGGACGUUAUCCGGCACUCUGCCCUAUGUAGCCCGGACUUUCCUCCC